UACGGAGGGGGCUAGCGUUGUUCGGAAUUACUGGGCGUAAAGCGUACGUAGGCGGCUUUGUAAGUUAGAGGUGAAAGCCCGGGGCUCAACCCCGGAAUUGCCUUUAAGACUGCAUCGCUUGAAUCGUGGAGAGGUGAGUGGAAUUCCGAGUGUAGAGGUGAAAUUCGUAGAUAAUUCGGAAAGAACACCAGUGGCGAAGGCGGCUCACUGGA
rnacentral:rRNA from 1 species